GGGCCAGUGGUGUAACGGAUUAACGCGUCUGACUUCGAAUCAGAAGAUUCCAGGUUCGAAUCCUGGCUGGCUCG